ensembl:lncRNA
CGUUGAUUUUUAGUAAGUAAAAUAAGUGUAUUUAUUGGUUGACUAGUUACAUAAUCUUGAGAAUUAGCAAUAAAAUCUUUAAAAUGUUUGUGUAAAGAGUAAAGUAGGGUAUAUUUAAACUCUACUUUUGCUUCUUGGGAUUGGAAUGGAAAAGUAAAUAACGUAACUGAGUUCUGUUGUGAUGAAAUACUAGUGAAAAUAAUUGAGGUCAUAACUGAAAAGAAGUAAUAAAAUCAAGAUGCUAAUGUAAUCUAACAUAUCAGAACACCAAAGGGAAGAGUUUCAUAGUUGCUGGUUUCAAUUGAGUUCAAAUUAAUUAAAAUGUAGUAAAUACCUAUCAUGUUUAACAUAUAAUCUUGCUUCUAUAAGUAACAUGCUUACAUUUAAAGAAUAUAUAAUCAAUCUAGUCAGUAAAAUAGGCCAGGUACAGAAACAGAAAUAAAUACAUACAUACAUAUAUAUAUAUAUAUAUAUAUAUAUAUAUAUAUAUAUAUAUAUAUAUGCAAAGUGAAAUCCAGUGAUUUUAAAUAUAAAUUAUUUCUGCCAUAAACCUUAGUCAGUCUUAUGCUGUGAUGAUAAACAGUGAGGUCAUGAUCAAUACAAAUAAAACUUACUCUAGAAGGAGAGAGAAAAUAGUGGGAUGUUUUGAACAGUAAACCGUGGUGGAAAAACCUCAGAUGAAAAAUAUUCUAACUCAAGAAAACUUACUAGUGAUUUCCAAGUUUGACAAGAUAGCUUCCUUCUCCACUUGACUUAGGUAAGUUACUCCUUUCAAUGUGGGGAUUAUGAGAAUAUCACGUUGAAUUCGAAGGCUUGGUUGAUCUAUUAGCUUUAUUUAUUUUUUAAAUGUUUUAUAGCCCCUGGCUAUAAACUGCCUCACAAAUACGUAUUAGUCAAAGAUACCUAAACAAAAUAGAGUGAGUUCAGAAAAAGCUCAAUGUCAUUGCCUGAAAUGUAAAUCAAAUCUCAUUCUUCAUUAAUGGGCAUAUGCAGCCCCACCAACAGAGGGAUGUACAAGCUGUGUGUCUUUUGGGGAAAACCGUUGAUUAACUUUGACUAUAGUUUCUUUACCACCAAAUGGGGAUACUAACAUUUGCCUUAAUUCAAAGAUAUGUGAAAUUAUUUUUCUCUCAGGACAUUGAAUUUAAUAUUGUAACUGUGUCUAAUAAAGGGAAUCUAAAUAAUAAAAGUUUAAUUCUUAAUUCAUAGAGUUCUGCAUUAUUUUCUAUUUGAUAACUUAUAAAAUCAUGAACUAAGCACUCAUUCUGAGCCAUCAGUAUAAUUUUUGACAUUCUCUCCAUUUUAAUACACAUCCUCAAGCUUUCUUUAUAAAAUUAUCCUUUCCAAAGUACAAUCUGUCUGUAAAUACACUUAAUCAAUUUACCUAUUCCUGUUCUCUGUAGUUAUUUCAAAAUAAUGGAUCAGAGUCCCUUAGUAAGAUAUGCUCUAAGGUCUUGAUAAACAUGAACAGUUUUCUGAAAAUGCAUCAGUGUGUUUCAUUAGCUUCCUUAAUUUGGGGGAAUAAAUAUACUGACUGUGAAUUCUGGGAUCUGAAUUAAAUUGGUGUAUGACUGGGAACAUUAAUGAU